CGGAAAGCCUGACGCAGCAACGCCGCGUGCGGGAUGAAGGCCUUCGGGUUGUAAACCGCUUUCAGCAGGGACGAAACUGACUGUACCUGCAGAAGAAGCCCCGGCUAACUACGUGCCAGCAGCCGCGGUAAUACGUAGGGGGCAAGCGUUAUCCGGAUUUAUUGGGCGUAAAGCGCGCGUAGGCGGCUUGUUAAGCGAGAUGUGAAAACCGGGGGCUCAACCCGCGGCCUGCAUCUCGAACUGGCAGGCUUGAGUCUGGUAGAGGAGUGUGGAAUUCCCAGUGUAGCGGUGAAAUGCGCAGAUAUUGGGAGGAACACCAGUGGCGAAGGCGGCACUCUGGGCCACGACUGACGCUGAGGCGCGAAAGCUAGGAGAGCGAACAGGAUUAGAUACCCUGGUAGUCCUAGCCGUAAACGAUGGGCACUAGGUGUGGGGGGUUAUCAACUCCCUCCGUGCCGCAGCUAACGCAUUAAGUGCCCCGCCUGGGGAGUACGGCCGCAAGGCUA
rnacentral:rRNA from 1 species